UGAAAGACUGAGAUCGGGAAGAGUAGGCAGCAAGCCCUUCAGAGAGUGGAAUUGCAGCGCUGUGAGGUUCCGCAGGAAGCUACUGGCCGAAGUCACCCGGGAGUCGCCUGUUUGAACGGUUCCUCAUUUCAUUCCUUCGGAAGGUAAGAGGUUCACGGUAGAAUAAGGCCGGUCCGCAACCGUUAUCUGCAUAAAGUGUCACACCAUGUGUAAUGGAUCAGUGGAUACAUACACUAGGGGUGAAACAAAGGUGGUACCGCGAGAGAACAGCCUUUCGUCCUUUGA
rnacentral:ncRNA from 1 species